GAUGAACGCUGGCGGCGUGCUUAACACAUGCAAGUCGAACGAGAAGUGAAGACGGAAACCUUCGGGCGGAAGGCUUUAUUUCGAGUGGCGGACGGGUGAGUAACGCGUGGGUAACCUGCCUCAUACAGGGGGAUAACAGUUGGAAACGACUGUUAAUACCGCAUAAGACCACAGCACCGCAUGGUGCGGGGGUAAAAACUCCGGUGGUAUGAGAUGGACCCGCGUUCGAUUAGCCAGUUGGCGGGGUAACGGCCCACCAAAGCGACGAUCGAUAGCCGAUCGGAGAGGAGGACCGGCCACAUUGGGACUGAGACACGGACCAAAAUCCUACGGGAGGCAGCAGUGGGGAAUAUUGCACAAUGGGGGAAACCCUGAUGCAGCGACGCCGCGUGAGUGAAGAAGUAUUUCGGUAUGUAAAGCUCUAUCAGCAGGGAAGAAAAUGACGGUACCUGAGAAAGAAGCCCCGGCUAACUACGUG
rnacentral:rRNA from 1 species